rnacentral:rRNA from 1 species
ACUAUGUUCCCUAGUAACGGCGAGUGAUUGUAGGCAGAGCUCAAGUGAAAUCGUGAGUCCUUUUUUGGCCUUACGAAUUGUAGCCUCUAGAGGCGUGACCAGUGGAGAGGCAGGUCCAAGUUUCUUGGAACAGAACUUCAGAGAGGGUGACAGUCCCGUCCUUUGUCCUGCUUUUUUUUCCACGUACGGUGCGCUUUUAUUGAGUCGCGUUCGUUGGGAUUCGAGCGCAAAAUGUGUGAUAAGUUUCACAUAAAGCUAAAUAUUGGCGUGAGACCGAUAGCGAACAAGUACUGUGAAGGAAAGAUGAAAAGGACUUUGGAAAGAGAGUUAAAAGUGUCUGAAAUUGCUGAAAGUUAAUGUCCGAUGCGAAGGACGAUUGACCUGUGUCGUAGUGAUCGUGAGUAUGUAGUCUCUACAUGCUCGUAGUGUGUGAAGUCUUGACGUCGUCUUGUCUAUAUCCCAUAGAUGUGCAGCACACAGUGGUUCUCCCAGAAUAUCUCCCGAGAGAAGUAAUCCUUCGGGAGUCUAUAGCCCUCGGUUUUGUUGUCAGGUAUCCACUGAGUGUGUUUUUGCGAUCGUCAGCUGCACUUUCGAGUACUGGCGUCUGCGUUGCUGUCCUAACCGUUCCACCGACCCGUCCUGAAACCACGACCAAAGAAUCUAACAUAAGUGCGAGUAUGCGGGUUGUACCCCUGUUAGCACAAUGAAAGUGAGAGUAGGGAGAGGUUUGUCUUUUUCCAUUCCUAGCACUUACGACCGACCACGAGCUCUGUGAGAGGUUUGAGUUGUAGCACAUCUGUUAGGACCCGAAAGAUGGUGAACUAUGCCUGAGUAGGGUGAAGUCAGGCGAAAGCCUGAUGGAAGCUCGUAGCGAUACUGACGUGCAAAUCGUUCGUCAAACUUGGGUAUAGGGGCGAAAGACUAAUCGAACCGUCUAGUAGCUGGUUUCUUCCGAAGUUUCUCUCAGGAUAGCUGGAGUUCUAUUAGUUUUAUCAGGUAAAGCGAAUGAUUAGAGGCCUCGGGGGCGCGUCGCCCUCGACCUAUUCUCAAACUUUAAAUGGGUAAGAUCCAGUGGUUACUUCAUUGAACUGCUGGGGUUAAUAUGAACUCCAAGUGGGCCAUUUUUGGUAAGCAGAACUGGCGAUGAGGGAUGCUCCUAACGCUUGGUUAAGGUGCCUAAAUACUCGCUCAUGAGACACCAUAAAAGGUGUUGGUUCAUUUUGACAGCAGGACGGUGGUCAUGGAAGUCGAAAUCCGCUAAGAAGUGUGUAACAACUUACCUGCCGAAUGAACCAGCCCUGAAAAUGGAUGGCGCUGCAGCGGGUUACCGAUACCAGGCCAUUAUCGCAAGUUUGUGGACACUCGACUUUUGCCGUAUUUUGG